rnacentral:rRNA from 1 species
GCGGCAUGCCUCAUACAUGCAAGUCGAACGAGGUCUUCGGACCUAGUGGCGCACGGGUGAGUAACAUGUGGGAAUCUACCUGAAGGUUCGGAAUAACUGCGGGAAACUGUAGCUAAUACCGGAUGUGUCUGCAAAGAGAAAGAUUUAUCGCCUUCAGAUGAGCCCGCACUAGAUUAGCUAGUUGGUGAGGUAACUGCUCCACCAAGGCUACGAUCUAUAGCUGAUUUGAGAGGAUGAUCAGCCACACUGGGACUGAGACACGGCCCAGACUCCUACGGGAGGCAGCAGUAGGGAAUAUUGGACAAUGGGGGAAACCCUGAUCCAGCAAUGCCGCGUGAGUGAAGAAGGCCUUCGGGUUGUAAAACUCUUUCAUCAAUGAUGAUAAUGACAUUAGUUGAAGAAGAAGCUCCGGCUAACUUCGUGCCAGCAGCCGCGGUAAUACGAAGGGGGCUAGCGUUGUUCGGAAUCACUGGGCGUAAAGCGUAUGUAGGCGGAUCAAAAAGUUAGAUGUGAAAUCCCUGGGCUCAACCCAGGAACUGCAUUUAAAACUAGUGAUCUAGAAUUUGGUAGGGGUUAGUAGAAUUUCCAGUGUAGAGGUGAAAUUCGUAGAUAUUGGAAAGAAUACCAGUGGCGAAGGCGACUAACUGGGCCAUUUUUGACGCUGAGAUACGAAAGCGUGGGUAGCAAACAGGAUUAGAUACCCUGGUAGUCCACGCAGUAAACGAUGAGUGCUAGUCGCUGGGACAAUAGUUUCAGUGUCGAAGCUAACGCAUUAAGCACUCCGCCUGGGAAGUACGGUC